GACCAGAGCUAUUUAUGUGAAUGACUAACGUUGCUUGAUAUCGUAUAUAAUGCAAUAAACGGAGUGUUUGCUACAAUGCUGUUACAUCAGGGAUAAGCAUAACCUAUCUGUUAUCCAUCACUUCAAUCACAGAAAUGUUGUGACCAGAUUUAAUUACAUCUUAGGGUUUUUCCAAAUUACAGCUGAAAAAAAAAAAUCAUCAGUUUAAAUGUCUUUUUUUUACAAAGCUGUGAAUGUCACCAAGAAAGUUUGCUCACACUGCCUCGGUGCCUUCCCAUCACAAGCAGCAGCAAUGCUGGCUGCAGAACACGACCUCUCAAAGCAAUACUAUGCGUUAUGGAUAGUAUUGCAUCACUCUUCCAAAAAAGGAAUUUAUAAAAAUAAAAGCAUUUCCAAGUCAAAUACAUGAAACGCUCCUCAUGGGAGGUUUUUUUAAAUGCAGCUUUGGGGGAAUGCCCGUAAUUGCUCUAUUACACAUUCUUAUGCUUGGAAAACUGAUUUCUGAAUCUGAAAAUAAAUCAAUCUGGGCUUUUUUCAGCAGUAAGGAUAGGCAGGAAAUACUUUUGCUUUUGACAACAGGAAUAACUUUUGCACAUAAGUAACUUCUAGGUCUCUAAAGUUCACUGAGAACGGCCUUUACCUUAAAGCAUGACUGCACCCCGGUCAAGGGGACAACGUGACACACAAAGGAGGUGACCCUGCAGCGUGACAGAUCUGAAUGCACGGAGUACAGAUGGAGCAUCUCCGAGGGAUGUGGUCUGAGGAAUCACAAGUGAAAUUGAUGAGAACUUGAUGCAACACCAAGCACUUUUAUCAGAAUUUCAAUGGAAAUUCCAAGCAAAGCAGGUUGGAUGACAAGCACAUGAACACCGACCUUGGGAAGAGCAACUAUGCAUGUUGGUGGUAGGAUAUAAGUGCUGCACAGCCUCUUCCAGGAGCACCUGGAGAUGCUUCCGGAAGACUCUGCCUGGACACAGUGUGCUGCUUGACCACAUCUGCCUGUUGUAAAACAAAGUACCUAAAGCAAGCCAAAUUCAUGGAAGGCGAAGCACUUAUUUAGUGCAAUUUAGCAGUCACCUGUGCACCUGGGAAAUCUGCUUGGUGCUAAAGGUUUGCCUGAGCCCUGGUUCUGUGAGGAUAAAUGAGGACGUGUGUUGGGCAAGAGCAGCAGGAGGCAGCCAGAUCUGCACUGAGCUAACCUCAUCCCACCCAGUACGCAAGAAAUGUAUCUGUGAAGAACUACUCGUACAACUGUGUUCAUCAGCAAAGCUUCAGGAUGGUGACCACCCGAGAAGAUGCUGCUGGUGCCUAGAUCACCAACUGGAGAAAGAUGGAUGGUGCAGGAGGACAGAAAAGAAAUGGAAAAUCAAAAUCCCUAAACACACGAACCUUGAUAGGACAAGGGAGAAUGGUUUUAAACUGAGACAGGGGAGGUUUAGGCUGGAUAUUAGGAGGAAGUUUUUCCACACAGAGGGUGGUGACUCACUGAACAGGUUGCCCAAGGAGGCUGUGGGUGCCCCAUCCCUGCAGGCAUUCAAGGCCAGGCUGGAUGUUGCUCUGGACAGCCUGGUCUCGUGAUUGGCGACCCUGCACAUAGCAGGGGGGUUGAAAAUCAAUGAUCAUUUUGGUUCUUUUCAACCCAGGCCAUUCUAUGUUUCUAUGAAAUGUUGAAGAGAGAUAAAACCAUCCAAGGAUGUAGGUAUGAAUGAGUUUCUUUUGAGUACUCAUACAGAAAUAAAUAAAUAGAUAUACAUAAAUAGGCUUCCAAGAUUGCCGUUUGAGCCAAUUUUCAUGAGUUUGGAACAUGGAUAUAUGGUGCUACGUAUAUGGUUUAUCUAUGCACAUCCUGAUGACCUAGAAACCAUCAGUCCUUUCAUGUUCAUUUUUUAUGCUGUUGUUUCUACCAGGAUCUAAUCACAAAAUUAUUU
ensembl:lncRNA